rnacentral:rRNA from 1 species
GAUGAACGCUAGCUACAGGCUUAACACAUGCAAGUCGAGGGGAAACGACAUCGAAAGCUUGCUUUUGAUGGGCGUCGACCGGCGCACGGGUGAGUAACGCGUAUCCAACCUGCCCACCACUUGGGGAUAACCUUGCGAAAGUAAGACUAAUACCCAAUGACGUCUCUAGAAGACAUCUGAAAGAGAUUAAAGAUUUAUCGGUGAUGGAUGGGGAUGCGUCUGAUUAGCUUGUUGGCGGGGUAACGGCCCACCAAGGCGACGAUCAGUAGGGGUUCUGAGAGGAAGGUCCCCCACAUUGGAACUGAGACACGGUCCAAACUCCUACGGGAGGCAGCAGUGAGGAAUAUUGGUCAAUGGACGAGAGUCUGAACCAGCCAAGUAGCGUGCAGGAUGACGGCCCUAUGGGUUGGAAACUGCUUUUAUAAGGGAAUAAAGUGAGUCGCGUGAGACUUUUUGCAUGUACCUUAGGAAUAAGGACCGGCUAAUUCCGU